AACCUGGAGAAAGGAAGAGUCACAGAUCAUCCCCAUACUACAGGAGACACAGAAAUGGCAGACAGUACUUGGAUCAGUGUAAAUAAAUAACAGCGGUACCUUGGUCUCAAGAGUUGUAGCCUGCCAAAUAACCAGAAGUCCAAAGUGCUGGGGAGAAAUGAUCUCUAAGGAGUAUAACUCACAUCAAAGAUCUCAAAUCCAGCAAUGUCCAAGACCCCGAUGAAGUACUGCCUGGACUGCUUGGUGUCCAGCUGCUGGUUGAUGCG